ensembl:lncRNA
GUACUACCUUCUGAGUUGAAGUGCCUGCCGCGUCCUUCACACUGAUCUGUGUUGCUUUUCAUCAGUUCUCUUCAAUAGUGCUGCGUGAGAGCCACCACAGAUAUAUCAUCAAACCCAUCUGCAAUGAGCCCAGACUAACUCCUUGCCAGAAGAUACCAUGCAUGGAGCAUCUGGAACACCAGAUUCCUCCUUUGCUGCCAUAAGGGUGGUUAUAUUACGGGAAGUAGCAAGCAAGAAACAAGCAAUCUGUGGCUGACUUUUGAAGAUGUAAUGCUGAACAAUAAGGCACCUUUACCAUCCAUAUAGGCUGUUACUAAAACAAGACAGCUACCACAAAAUGGAUUUUGAUAUUCUGUAUGAGCUCAGUACACAUCUACUGCAAAAGUCUCAUCUGUGUAUCCUGAAUUGCUCCUGAAGAUAUGGAGUAGAGUUUUGAAUGGCAUUUAUAUCACUCCUUCCAAGAAGACCAUCAGAUAACAGACAGCAGUAAAUUUCCUUCACUUGAAAUGGGGUUCAAUCAAACUAAAUGUACACAGCUCUUUAUUUACAACUGAACUACUCAUUCCAGGCUUCUCUACAGGAGGCCUCAACACAUUGAGCACUAUUUAAGUAUUACGAUUUAUCGGUGGGUUUAAAGAAGCCUCCCAGGAAUGCACUUCAUACCUGUUGUCCAUUCCUGGAGUGCUUCUGGAUCAAAGCAGAGGACCAAAGCCCCAAGGACCAUUGAGAGUGACUGAACGUGGAAAAUUAUUCAAAAGAUCUCCACAUCUAAACGAAACUCACAGUUCAAUCUCAUCUCUCAUUUUGGCACCGGUUGCAUACAUGAUCCUGGACAUUUACUUCUCAUAUGAAGACUGAACCCCUGUGGACAAUUUCAGCAAUCUUGUCCUUCCACUUCAGCAAUGUUCUAAGAUCCAUUGGCUUCAGCAGGAGCUUUUCAGCCAUCUUUCAAUUGAGGUUUUAAUCAGAUCCUCAGUGAAUACGAAUCAAAUACAGAAGAAAACUGUUUCUUAGGACAUUUUCUGUCAUGAUUCUCCAUUUACCGUUACAUUUCGUGAUGAUAGCCUCUUCAGCUUUUCUCUCAGCAAUUACUUUAGAUCAGCGGAAAAAUCUGUUUCUGUUGUUAGUAAAAACACAUUUAAGACAUCUUUCUGCAAUCUAGACUGCUGUUCCCAGCUGCAAAGUAUGAAUUAUGCAUGCUUCUUGUCUUCUUAGAGUAUGAAAAAAACACCCUACUAUAGUCUUGAAUUAAUGAUUCUAAUGUUAUGCUAAAUGUUCACAGUUUAUUAUUCCAAUAAAUAUGGCAAUCUAGUGAUA